GAGAUGUGUGAUGACGCAUAUCAAUAAGCGGAGGAAAAGAAACUAACAAGGAUUCCCCUAGUAACGGCGAGUGAAGCGGGAAGAGCUCAAAUUUGAAAUCUUCAAGGGUUUCCCUUUACGAAUUGUAGUUUAAAGAAGUGUUUUCUGUUGGAGUUUCGGUAAAAGUUCUUUGGAAUAGGACAUCAUAGAGGGUGAGAAUCCCGUAUUUGACCAUUAUUUCCAACUUUGUGAUACACUUUCAAAGAGUCGGAUUGUUUGGGAAUGCAGUCCAAAAUGGGUGGUAAAUUUCAUCUAAAGCUAAAUAUUGGCGAGAGACCGAUAGCGAACAAGUACCGUGAGGGAAAGAUGAAAAGAACUUUGAAAAGAGAGUUAAACAGUACGUGAAAUUGUCAAAAGGGAAGCGUUUGACACCAGUGUUGUUUUUCCGAAAAUCAAUUAAGAAUGUUUUAGUUUUUGAGGAAGUUAUGACUUCAUCGGCUUGCUCCUUUCUUUAUGGAAACUUUCUUAAUGCACUUUUCGGUUAACAAGGUCAACAUCAAUUUCUUUUGUUGUAAAAGGGUAUGAGGAAGGUGGCUUUCUUUUCGGAGAAGGUGUUUAUAGCCUUGUACCUCUGCAAUCGGAGAGAUUGAGGUCUGCAGCGUAGAUCCUUCGGGGUUAGAUACAUUUGUGCUAAGUUAUAGUUUUUCAUAGACAACUUGUUGACUAUGAUUAAGUCAUGUAGCUUACUCGUUUGCGCUAUUUUACCUACGCUUAGGAUGUUGAGUCGUAGAGCACGCAG
rnacentral:rRNA from 1 species